GCAGGGAGGGACAGGGAGGAGCAGAAAGACCGUCUCAAGAACUGCCACUUAGAGAAGAGGUGCUGAGAAGGAAAAGAGGAAAGAAAAAAAAUAAACACAUGGAAGAAACUACUGUAUAUCAUUCAAAGAAAAGGGACAACAUAACUAUUAUUCAUCUUACUUCAGUUUACUCAUCUACCUUUUUCACGUCUCGUCCACAGCACGGCUAAUCUAUCUAUGGGGCAAUUAGGAAUCCCACUUAGUGAAAAUUCCUAUCAAAAAUAAAGGUAACA
rnacentral:lncRNA from 1 species